UACGUAGGGCGCAAGCGUUGUCCGGAAUUAUUGGGCGUAAAGAGCUCGUAGGCGGCUUGUCACGUCGAUUGUGAAAGCCCGAGGCUUAACCUCGGGUCUGCAGUCGAUACGGGCUAGCUAGAGUGUGGUAGGGGAGAUCGGAAUUCCUGGUGUAGCGGUGAAAUGCGUAGAUAUUGGGAGGAACACCAGUGGCGAAGGCGGCUCUCUGGACCUGUCCUGACGCUCAGGCGCGAAAGCUAGGGAGCGAACGAGG
rnacentral:rRNA from 1 species